GAUGAACGCUGGCGGCGUGCCUAAUACAUGCAAGUCGAGCGAACGGACGAGAAGCUUGCUUCUCUGAUGUUAGCGGCGGACGGGUGAGUAACACGUGGAUAACCUACCUAUAAGACUGGGAUAACUUCGGGAAACCGGAGCUAAUACCGGAUAAUAUUUUGAACCGCAUGGUUCAAAAGUGAAAGACGGUCUUGCUGUCACUGAUAGAUGGAUCCGCGCUGCAUUAGCUAGUUGGUAAGGUAACGGUGUACCAAGGCAACGAUGCAUAGCCGACCUGAGAGGGUGAUCGGCCACACUGGAACUGAGACACGGUCCAGACUCCUACGGGAGGCAGCAGUAGGGAAUCUUCCGCAAUGGGCGAAAGCCUGACGGAGCAACGCCGCGUGAGUGAUGAAGGUCUUCGGAUCGUAAAACUCUGUUAUUAGGGAAGAACAUAUGUGUAAGUAACUGUGCACAUCUUGACGGUACCUAAUCAGAAAGCCACGGCUAACUACGUG
rnacentral:rRNA from 1 species